GACGGAGGAUGCAAGCGUUAUCCGGAAUUAUUGGGCGUAAAGAGUACGUAGGCGGCUCAUCAAGUCAGAGGUUAAAGCCCACGGCUUAACUGUGGAUCGGCCUUUGAAACUGAUAGGCUCGAGUGUGGUAGGGGUAGAGGGAAUUCCCGGUGUAGCGGUGAAAUGCGUAGAUAUCGGGAAGAACACCUGUGGCGAAAGCGCUCUACUGGACCAUUACUGACGCUGAGGUACGAAAGCUAGGGGAGCGAAUGGG
rnacentral:rRNA from 1 species